ensembl:lncRNA
GUGAACAAACCAGGAUGGGGAGUUUCAGCUGCCUCGCUACCCAUUAAUGCCUCAUUUCACUCCGUGAAAAAUGAAGUUGACAUAAACUGGUUUCCAAAUGAUUUUCAUUGCUUAGCACAAGUGAGCGGAGCAGUGGUGCAGAGGAGAUGCAAAGAGCUGAGCAGCAGGUGCUGGGGUCGCUGGUGAAGGAAAUGGAUCUGAGAGCAACAGGACAGUGGCAGGAGAUGGCUUGCAGGCUGCCAGCCGGCGCAGCAUUGAAGGCUGAAGCUCUUGCCACAGGCUUUGCAGCAGUUUCCUGAAAGCACCCUGGAAAUCUGCUCUGCCACAUGCUUUUCUGCUUGUCUCAUCCAAGAAAACUCUCUCUUUUCAUGAGCCGUAUUUUUUUCCCCUUUCAAAACAGCCAAAGAUGUUUCCCUUUUUGCUAUUUCAUCAAAGCUGGAAGAGGUCGUUUGUCCUCAUCUUCAGACGUGCAACCAUUCCUUGAUCUUCAAAUUCUUCCCCUCCAGUUGCUGCAUAUAAAGGUGUACAAGGGAGAUUCUCAGCACAGUGUUCGGAGCAGAGCAGCGGGUCGUUCCCUGUUGCUGUUUGAUCAGCAAGUCUCCAUCUCUUUCGACAUAGCACUGGGACAACAAGUGGUUGAGUCUUUGUAGCUUGAACACCUUCUGCCCACGGACACUGAGCUUACUUGGAGCUUUGAAAUGCCUCUCUGCAAACCCAUAGCCAGUUCCAUGUCCAGCACUGAAAUAAAACUGAAAAUGGUCCAACAUCCUCCAAAGCAGCCUCUGCUGAAACCUUGGGAGAGCAGGCUCACGCUGUCAUUAGCACUGCUGAGAUUUACAUCCAGGAUCAAUUAAAACCGCCACAUUGCUUUGGAGCAAAGACAGAAAACUCAACAACAUUCUUUGCCAGUAUCAUCCCAACUGACUGAAAAUUAUAAAUCUUAUCUCAGAAGUCCUUGCAGAACUCCCUGGCUCUUGGGUGAAGCUCCCGAUACUUAAAUUUCUGCUGUAUUUUGAAAAUCAAAAGUGGCUUCUAAGCUACAUAGGUGGGCUUGGAAAGAGUUUUGCUUUUUUCAUGAGGGUCUAUACCAGCGUCUGCAGGUACAGAUGGUCGUUUACCAGGAGGCAAAGGGUCAUGUGCUGUGUCCAGCUGGUGCUCGCUGCAAGAUGUGCACUGAAUUUGUGUGAUGGAGUAGCAGGUACACAACAUAAAUCCAUAUACAUGCAUACAUAUGGAAAGCAUUCAGUGAUAACAGCAGAGGAUGAGCUGGUACCUCAGGAUCUCAUCCCUUUUCCCAUUGGGAGAGCCAGGCGUUGUUUCUGGUCUUGCUGAAGCACAUUUUGUCUGUGUGGAGCUGAAGGAGGUGACAGAUCCUUUAAUCAGAGGGGCGGCUGCUCGUUUCUCCCUCCAGUAGAAAUUUUGAGGAUUCUUCAGCACUUCUUAAGAGGGAAAACCUUGAAGUUUUCUCCCACUGCUAAUUGUAUGGGCGAGGGGGGAAUAAGAGAUGAACUAUCCAAGAUUUGUCAAUUUUAAAAUGCUAUUAAGCU